rnacentral:rRNA from 1 species
AUGCAUGCUGGCCUGGAUUCUCUUCUACGUUCUGGAGCACCUCUGGCGGUCACAAGGGACGGUUUGGCUUUCGAGGAUCGUCUCAUUCAAAAUGGAAAUGGCUGUCAGGCUGCGAAUGGCGAGCCUGCUUUGGUUGAUCAUGGAGCUGAACCAUGCCACAGUGCUGCGAAUUCUGUAAAUGCGAAUGCCCUGCAGUGCCUCGAGGCGCCAGACAAGCGUAGAGGUGCUGGCAGGCCGACGAACAGUAGGGAGAAGGCCCCGUACGAAGGGCUGAGUAAGAGAACCAGGUUCUGCAGCAUUUGCUGCCGUGAGGGCCACGAGAGGAGCACAUGCCCAGAGAGAGGGGAUGAGCCAAAGAAGCCGCGGAAACCCGGCAGAUGCAAGAACUGCGGCAUAGAAGGGCAUCGGCGGGAUACAUGUAAGAGGCCUCUUGGGUUUGCCGAGAGCUGA